rnacentral:lncRNA from 1 species
UCAGAAGAAUCCACCUGACUCUGCAAUCUGUCAAGCUAGAGAUUUUCCAUGCAACAGCUUCCACAAUAACAAUGAUUUCUCUUUUGGAAAACAGAGUUGGCAAAAUAAUGUUACUCCAUUGGUUUGGAGGACAAUUCAGAGAAACAAACUAGUAGCUCUAAUUUUGAGAAAUAGUUAAUGACCAUACUGUGGUACAGUUUAUGCUAACCAUUUAUGUGGAGUUUGUUUCUCUGAAUUGUCCUAAUUUUGAGAAACAAACAUACCUGACUCUGCAAUUUAAUUUAACGUUAAAUGGUUAAUGACCAGUCUAGCUAGUAGCUCUAACUUUGAGAAAUUUCUGUUCAAUAGAUAUGGAUUUUUCCUAUAAAAAAAAGAGUAAAUGACACUUUAGUACUAAUUUAAGCUUCAUUUUGCCCAUUUAAAUGUUUUUAAAAGAAAUGUGUCCACUUCAAUAUAAGGUGUGUAAAAUGUGCCCUAUUGGACAAAACUUUUUUAAUGGGCCCAUUUUUAACAGUUUUUUCUGUCGAAAAUACCCUCAACCCAUGGAUUAUAUACACCAGACGAGAUCCAUUUUCAAAUUUCUGUUUUGAAGAGAGAGAAAGUUUACGAUCGGAGAGAGAGAGAGAGAGAGAGAGAGAGAGAGAGAGAGAGAG